rnacentral:rRNA from 1 species
GGAAGGUCCGGGCGUUAUCCGGAUUUAUUGGGUUUAAAGGGAGCGUAGGCCGGAGAUUAAGCGUGUUGUGAAAUGUAGAGGCUCAACCUCUGCACUGCAGCGCGAACUGGUUUCCUUGAGUACGCACAAAGUGGGCGGAAUUCGUGGUGUAGCGGUGAAAUGCUUAGAUAUGACGAAGAACUCCGAUUGCGAAGGCAGCCUGCUGUAGCGCAACUGACGCUGAAGCUCGAAAGCGUGGGUAUCGAACAGGAUUAGAUACCCUGGUAGUCCACGCGGUAAACGAUGGAUGCUCGCUGUUUGCGUCUGACGUAAGCGGCCAAGCGAAAGCGUUAAGCAUCCCACCUGGGGAGU